UCGGUGAGGGGGAACACCAAGGUUUUGAUACAAAGUAUGGAAACAAGGGCUGAUGAGAUGGAAGCACUCCUGGAAGCCUGACAAGCUCCACACAGUCCUACAGCGUUCCACCAUGUAAAAUCAGGCCUUCAUUUUGAACUUGGAAAUCUCCCCACUCGCAGGCAGUGGCAAUGCCAGCAAGCCACAGGUGGGCACCACAUGAGCAGAAUGAAGGUAGAUGCCUUGACUCAGAAUUGGUGGCUGUUUUAAAAGCUGGCCUUGCUUUGGACCAUUGUUGGGACUGUCUUCUUCAGCAAACAGUGAUCAUGAAACCAAAUUCAGCUUUCUUCAGGAAAAGGACAAAAACUGGGGUAUACCACUGGAUCUACUAUGGAAAAGUGUUUGAGUGAUGCCCACCUAAUAUAGAAGAACUUGUCAUAGCUCUGAUGCAGCGACAAUUGACCACUUGCUUUUACAUAAACACUAGGAAGAAAGGCAUGGCAUCAAGUGUUUUGAGAGCUGAAUUACAUCAAUAUUUCCUUUUCAGAAAAUCUAAAAUUAUUUCAAUGCACAAAAGGUACAUACUGAAUGUAAUUAUAACUCUUCAAAAAAAUCAAUCUCUUUCUCUUUUUAAACUUACAUAAAAAUAAAUUAUCUGACUAUUU
ensembl:lncRNA novel transcript, antisense to ZEB2